GUUGGAAUAAUAGGAGAAUUUCUUCAUGGAUCCACUUGCAGGAAAUAGUAAAAGCAACUCAUGAUUCUGGGAUUACAUGUAUAAAAUUAAUAUGCACAUAAAUAAACUGUUAUGUUUACUUUCAAGCUACCAAAGGAGAUGUUGCUUGCUGAUUUUAUUUUUUUCUGUAUCUCCUUAUUUCUCACUCAGUUGCUGGAUGAGAAGAGAUCCCUCAAGAUCAAGAGAAGAGAUCAAGAGAGGAAAAUCCCUUGGAGCUGGAGGAGGCCAAAAGUAUCCUAAUGGAUGUAGACAGACUGGGAGUAGCUCUGUCAUAACUGUCACCAAACAACCAGCGUUGGAAUCUCAGCUGGUUCACCAACUAGUUCUGUGACCUUGGGCAAGUCACUUUCCAGACAAGAGCCUAAUUCCCUGUAAAAAUGGAGACAAGAAAAUACCAACUUCACAAGGUGGGAGUUCUAACAUAAACUGUGAAAACACUCCAAAAUUGUUAUUAUUAUUAUUACUGUUAUCUUUAUUAAUAUUAUGUGUUAUACAAUAACAGCAUUACAAUCAGGC
rnacentral:lncRNA from 1 species